rnacentral:tRNA from 1 species
AUGUGGCCAGGUCGGCUGCGGCCCUGGCAUUAGCCCUGCCGGAGCAGGCAGCGUCUGACGGUGAGGGGAUCUCUGUCCCCUGUCGUCUAC